ACAUUAACUGAAGCUCUUGAUUUGUAUCUCCAUGAUUUUAUGUCAAGGGAUUGGCUGAUUAGAGAACUGCAUAAAACAGCAGGUUUACAGGUGUACCUAAUAAAGUGGCAGAUGGCGUGAUGUUUGCUUCCAGAAUUUGCUGGUAUUUUAGAAGAAGAAAGAAGAAACCUCUGGCCCUGUCCACACGGCAAUGGAUUCAGCUCUUACGGUGUGUUCACGACUACAAGAUUCCUGCAAAAUUAAAAAAAAAAACAACACUGUGAAUCAUCAAAGACUAUGACCAUCAUUCAGCCGGGGACGCUACAGUCCGUAACCAGGGUCCGUACCGUAGGAUACGGACCUGCUCGCCAGCCAAUCAGAGCGCAGGAUUUGGACCACGAAACAAAUAUGUUAACAGAUACUAAUAAUGAAAAUGUACAUCACUGUAAUCUUUAUACAUGUGAUAUAAAA